rnacentral:rRNA from 1 species
UGGGGAAUAUUGCACAAUGGGGGAAACCCUGAUGCAGCGACGCCGCGUGAGCGAAGAAGGUUUUCGAAUCGUAAAGCUCUGUCCUAUGAGAAGAUAAUGACGGUAUCAUAGGAGGAAGCCCCGGCUAAAUACGUGCCAGCAGCCGCGGUAAUACGUAUGGGGCGAGCGUUGUCCGGAAUUAUUGGGCGUAAAGGGUACGUAGGCGGUCUAUUAAGUCAGGUGUGAAAGCGUGAGGCUUAACCUCAUUAAGCACUUGAAACUGAUAUACUUGAGUGAAGGAGAGGAAAGUGGAAUUCCUAGUGUAGCGGUGAAAUGCGUAGAUAUUAGGGGGAAUACCGGUGGCGAAGGCGACUUUCUGGACUUUUACUGACACUCAGGUACGAAAGCGUGGGGAGCAAACAGG